UGGAAUAUCGCCAAGUGGUAAAGGCACUGAUUUUUGAUAUCAGCAAUCAUAGGUUCAAAUCCUUUUAUUCCAA
rnacentral:tRNA from 1 species